ensembl:lncRNA
CAUUGUCCUUACCAAUGAAAUCACAAAGACAGGCAAAGCAGUCCUGCUUCUUGUAAAUCAGAAGCUGCCUUUAUCACAUAAAGCCAAACAGGGCAUAACCAUGUCACGUGAGCAUGUCAUCAGGCUUCUGAGGACUUGUUCUUUAUAAAAGAGACCUUCACAAAAUAUCUUGGCUCAGAGAUAGUAGUCUUUAUUAACAAAGGCCAUGCAGAUAAUCAUCUCCUUUUCUUUGUCUAUGUUGUACAUUUUCAUGAUAUAACUUUUAACUAUGUCUAGAGAAGGCAGGCUCUGCAAGAGAAAUGCCCUUUCAACCCACUCAGUGCCCUGGACAGGAGAUACUGUGUUAAACUGUUAAUGGAUAUCUAUUUGAGAAGCUCAUUUUUGUAUGCUAUCCCUGCAAAGUUUUUUUUUUCUAACAGGCCCAUGUUUGAGAAUAAACAAGUCUGUGAUGUCAGAGACAAAGGUGUAUUCUUCAGUCUGCAGGUGUGUGGCACCUCCAUUCUCCCCUGCAGCCCCCCACAUCCAGAGCCGUUCCUGAGGGUGACAUCAUGCAUCAAGAAAACAUAACCUUAGUCCUCUCAGGUGGACCCUUGGAACAUUCUGUGACAGCUGAUGUCCGUUCUGAGCCACCUUGGCACGCGUGCUUGUAGGCAGCAUUGCUAAGGGUUCAGGUGCCCCAUGGCUGACAGCCCCUGAGUUGCUUCUGUGGACCAUCAUGCUGCCCGGCGUGUCCCGAGACAGAAGUUGCUGCAGGAAGGAGCUUCUGGAGAGGUCCUGUGGCGUGUGGGGGUGUGUGUGUGUAUGUUUCCUUCUUGAAAAGACAUUCCAAUUUUAGUUGUGUUCAUAGAACUGACCUUUCUACUAACAAAAUACAAUGAUAUAUUUUGGAAACUACUUAAUAUGCUUUUCCUGCACACCUUAGCAAUAACUGUAGGGGUCUCUGCUAGAGUUGUUUGUAUGUACAGCAAUUUUGAACAAAUUGUUUUAAAUGUAAUAUAAGAGAAUUAGUUUAAGGAAGUAAAGAGAAUCAUUUGCUUAUGUUACAUUUUCAGUGAGGAUUCAGUUUAAGAGUCAUUCUUAGGACAUCCAUUUCCUAAUAUUUAUUCAUGGGUAAUGAAGAAAUGGUUUGCAUUUUGUGGCCAGUCCUAAUUUAUUUUCCAGCUGAGCCCUAACUUCCGGUUCCCACCUACCUCCACGGACUUCCUAACAGAGACUUAUGAAUACCAGGACGUGUUUUUGUUAAGUCAGGUUCAAUUCGUUGCCCCAGUCAGUUUUAUACAGUGUGAGGGUCACUCGAUUAAAGAUCUCUCCUGGGUGGAUCCUACUUGGAUGUUCAGGUGAUUUUGAAAACUGCUAACAUUUUUAAAAGGCUAGAACAUCCUUUGACUUCUUGAAAAUCUGCAUGUCUGGCUUGGGUUUUAUUACCACAUGCCUGAGUUCUUCAAGAAUGGAAGGCUCAAGUAUUCUCAUUUUCCAUUUGCCAAACUUCCUUCCUGAUUUGAGUCACAUGUGUUCCACCUGGAAAGAAAGGGAACAGAGAGCCUCCUCCAUGGACAGUGUAUGAAUUUCAUUGGGAAUCUUGCUGUCUCCAGCCUGUAUGCCUUUCUCUCUUUUUAACCUUACAUUACAUAAUAUUAUAGAUGGGCCAAAAAAAAGAAAAGAUGACUAACAUUUUGAUGAAUUUCACCUAUUCCAUUCUUCACGUUUCAGAAUCUGUCGACUUUGUUAGAAGACAGUUGAAGUAGCCUUGGGUCAAAAGCAACCUUUUCAAUUGUGAUCAUACCUAAAACAUAUAAAAACCCUGCAGUAGAUUAAAAGCAGUUAUAAAAUCAUAAAAUUGAAUGUUUGCAGAAUCCUGGAGCAGUAGAUUUCUUUUUCUUUGGCCUGCAGACUAGAAAGAGGGCAGCAGUAGUAUGCUGGAGCUUCCCUGGGAUACCAGCCACAUGGUUUCUUUUCAUUAGAUCUGAUUUUUGUUUCCCACUGUAGAUCUGAUUUUGUAGUUGAAAACAUUUCACCACCAUCCAACACUAUUUCUGAAUAUUGUGCCCUUUUAUACCUAGCCUAGAUGAAAACCGAUGCCAUUCUUAUUCAGAAAAUCCCCCCAUCCUACAUGACUGUUAUCUAGACAUAAAGCAAAGUGCAUUUAAUUCAAGAUUUGGUACACAAUAUAACUAUUUUGUAAAAGCCAGCUGAACCAGCAUUUUUUCAGGUGGAAAUCUCUGCAGGCCAAAUUGCUGAUAUUCCUUCAUGCAAAUCAACUUGGUGUCCCAGUCAAAAUAGAACAGCAUAACUACCUGGAGUUAGGGGGAGUAUUUCUGCACUAUUACUUGUCAGGGAGAGAAGAAACUUAGAAUUGUCCCUCAAAGGACUGUCAAGAAGUAUGAAUAAAUGUCCUUUCACCAGCUCACAGGCCAGAAAUGGAGGACCCAAGUCAACUAGGUGAAACUACUAGCAGACCCAGCUUUCCCGUAAUAACCUAAUCUGCAAAUCAUUCUAUUAAAGUCUUAUUGUUUUCAGGAUGCAAUGAAAGUGGAUUUCAAAAGGCUUUGGAAAAAUAAGUGGAACAUGACUGAUCUUGAAAAAAAAAAAAGCAAAAGCUUAAAUAUUUGAUACAAGUUUACUUAGCUACAACAUACUUUACAUUGUUGCCUUUAGUUAUCUCACAGGCACUGACAUUUUAUAUUUAGAAAAUACCUUGAAUCUUUCUAAUCUUUUUUUGUAAAUAUUAGUGUCCAUUCUGUAUGACUCCCUAACCUACUCUGCAAGGCUUUGGGCAAUGUUUUAGCUCAUUAACUUCAAGAUGAUGUGUCAUCUGUAUAGGUCAAAGAAUGGGACUUCUGAACUGAGGAAUUUGCUGUUGACAGCCAAAGUAUAGUGUACAAGAUUGAUGUAACUUGAUAUGUAUUUUUGUUGAAGUUUUUUGUAAAAAAAAAAAAAUUAUUUACAAUGUUAUUUGAAUGAUUUUUUAAAUGCUGUGAAUCUAUAUUUGUUGUUUUGUAUAUUAAAAUUCAUUUGCCAAAC